GGGGAAGUGGCGGAACGGCAGACGCGCAAGGCUUAGGACCUUGUGCCGCAAGGCGUAGGAGUUCAAAUCUCCUCUUCCCCACCA
rnacentral:tRNA from 1 species